AACGCAAAUGGCGCUGUUGGGUACUCCUCCCUGCAGCACGUCUGUUUCAGUGUCUUUGAUAUAUUACAUCCUUCUGGGACCGCUGUACUAUGGGCCUUGAAAAAAAGGGUUCUUCGGUUUUUCCAGAUAUGCAUGGAUGUCUCUGGAAGAAAAAGGGUAGUUUGUCGUGUGAAGACACUACCCCACCAGAGUCGUCUAAAGGUGAGUACUGCCUGCCUGCUGUUUCUGAUACAGCAUCACCGAUCAACGUUGUUGUUGGGGUUGUGGUGGUGGUGGUGACAAUCAUCAUCCAUCAUCAUGAUCCCCACUCCUCAAGCAGGGAAACAAUGAAAACUCGGACGACGACUAUUAAUAAUAGCGCGGCGCCGGUGGUCGUUGUUUCUUGAAUGCUCGGGGAGGGUGUGGUGUUGCAGUGACGAAGAGGCAUCUUUGAGAUACGGUGAUAUUCUUCCUUCUGGGCGCUUUCGCGGUGGCCAGUGGUGAAUAAUACAGGUUUCAAAGCUGUCGUUCUUGCUGCAUGCGCACCGAGAGACAACGCGCGCGUCGAUGGUGGUUGUGUAAGAAGACGACGAGGGCGUUGGUGCAGUCGUGUAGCAGUUUACUACUACUAUAAGGACGCGGCACUCACAGUGCUGGUGUUGUUUCGGUAGUAGUGUACUGUUUUAUUUGCGGGGGAAACGACGGUGAUCGUUUCGUCCUUUUUAGUAGACCUGAAAUCAGGCGAGAUUACCCGCUGAACUUAAGCAUAUUAUUAAGCGGUGGAGAAGAAAAUAACAAUGAUUCCCCUAGUAACGGCGAGUGAAGAGGGAAGAGCUCAAUGUGGAAAUCGGAGAUUCUUGGCUGGAUUUCCGAGUUGUAGCCUCGAGAGGCGUGACCAGUGGAGGCAUAGGGAGAAGUUUCUUGGAAAAGAACAUCAGAGAGGGUGAGAGUCCCGUAUUUGCCCUGUGCCCGAUUCGUUCCACGGACGGUGCGCCUUUAUAGAGUCGCGUUCAUCGGGAUUUGAGCGCAAAAUGUGUGGUAAGUUUCACAUAAAGCUAAAUAUUGGCGCGAGACCGAUAGCAAACAAGUACCGUGAGGGAAAGAUGAAAAGUUCUUUGGAAAGAGGGUUAAAAGUGCCUGAAAUUGCUGAAAAGGAAGCGAUUGGAACCUUUACGAAUCUAGUAUGUGAAUCUCUCACGGUAUCGAGCUCCAUGUUCUCUUUUUCACUCUUCUUUUUAAGGAAGAGGGGAGGGUGUGGCGAGGGCAAUAGAUACUGUAGAUGAGGAUCGUGCUGGAGAGGUCAGCAUCAGUUACUAUAUAAUAUGGACAAAAGAUCAUUGGUGUAAAAGGUAGGUCUCUCGUUUUCGGGCUGCUUUAUAGUUACACCAGGCGACUUUUGUUGGUGACUGAGGCAUGAUGGAUAUUUGGUUUUCGGACUGAAUUUCUGUGAUGCUGGCUAAAACGGUUUCAACCGACCCGUCUUGAAACACGGACCAAGGAGUCUAACAUAUGUGCGAGUAUGCGGGUGGCAAACCUGUAUGCGUAAUGAAAGUAAGAGUAGGGACGGGUGGUGACAUUAUUAUUAGCAAUAGUAGUAUUGUGCUCCGCCCCGCACCUACGACCGACCACGAUCGAUAGAGAGAGGUUUGAGUUGGAGCAUAUCUGUUAGGACCCGAAAGAUGGUGAACUAUGCCUGGGUAGAAUGAAGUCAGGGGAAACCCUGAUGGAGGUUCGUAGCGAUACUGACGUGCAAAUCGUUCGUCAAACUUGGGUAUAGGGGCGAAAGACUAAUCGAACCAUCUAGUAGCUGGUUUCUUCCGAAGUUUCUCUCAGGAUAGCUGGAGUUUGUUUAGUUUUAUCAGGUAAAGCGAAUGAUUAGAGGCAUCGGGGGCGCCAGGCCCUCGACCUAUUCUCAAACUUUAAAUGGGUAAGAUCCAACGGUUACUUGAUUUUUUGAACUGUUGGGAUUAAUAAGAACUCCAAGUGGGCCAUUUUUGGUAAGCAGAACUGGCGAUGAGGGAUGCUCCUAACGCUUGGUUAAGGUGCCAAAAUGCUCGCUCAUCAGAUACCAUAAAAGGUGUUGGUUCAUUUUGACAGCAGGACGGUGGUCAUGGAAGUCGAAAUCCGCUAAGGAGUGUGUAACAACUCACCUGCCGAAUGAACCAGCCCUGAAAAUGGAUGGCGCUGAAGCGGGCUACCGAUACCAGGCCAUUGCUAUGAUUUUUCUUCUCUCAGAGAAGCGUUAGUUUUUGGUAGUAGCAAUGAGUAGGAAGA
rnacentral:rRNA from 1 species